GGGGCCAUAGCUCAGCUGGCUAGAGCGCUUGCAUGGCAUGCAAGAGGUCGGGGGUUCGAAUCCCCCUGGCUCCACUA
rnacentral:tRNA from 1 species